rnacentral:rRNA from 1 species
UGGGGAAUAUUGGGCAAUGGGCGCAAGCCUGACCCAGCAACGCCGCGUGAAGGAAGAAGGCCCUCGGGUUGUAAACUUCUUUUGACAGGGACGAAGAAAAUGACGGUACCUGUCGAAUAAGCCACGGCUAACUACGUGCCAGCAGCCGCGGUAAUACGUAGGUGGCAAGCGUUAUCCGGAUUUACUGGGUGUAAAGGGCGUGUAGGCGGGCUGGCAAGUCAGAUGUGAAAACCAUGGGCUCAACCCAUGGCCUGCAUUUGAAACUGUUGGUCUUGAGUGCUGGAGAGGCAAUCGGAAUUCCGUGUGUAGCGGUGAAAUGCGUAGAUAUACGGAGGAACACCAGUGGCGAAGGCGGAUUGCUGGACAGUAACUGACGCUGAGGCGCGAAAGCGUGGGGAGCAAACA